UAGGGAAUCUUCGGCAAUGGACGAAAGUCUGACCGAGCAACGCCGCGUGAGUGAAGAAGGUUUUCGGAUCGCAAAACUCUGUUGUUAGAGAAGAACAAGGACGUUAGUAACUGAACGUCCCCUGGCGGUAUCUAACCAGAAAGCCACGGCUAACUACGUGCCAGCAGCCGCGGUAAUACGUAGGUGGCAAGCGUUGUCCGGAUUUAUUGGGCGUAAAGCGAGCGCAGGCGGUUUCUUAAGUCUGAUGUGUAAGCCCCCGGCUCAACCGGGGAGGGUCAUUGGAAACUGGGAGACUUGAGUGCAGAAGAGGAGAGUGGAAUUCCAUGUGUAGCGGUGAAAUGCGUAGAUAUAUGGAGGAACACCAGUGGCGAAGGCGGCUCUCUGGUCUGUAACUGACGCUGAGGCUCGAAAGCGUGGGGAGCAAACAGG
rnacentral:rRNA from 1 species